ensembl:lncRNA
CCCAAUAAUAGAACCACAUCCCUCAUGGUGAUGUCCUAGGGGAUUCUCAGCCCCAUGGGUUUUGUCAUUAAAAAAGUUCUCUAGAUCACCUUUUGCACUGAGAGGAAUGACAGUCUGUGGGAAUGCACAGUUCACCAUGGCUUGCAGGGGGAAAAACAUCUUGAAAUUUAGAAGACAUUACAAAACGCUUAGAGGAUGCAUCCUAGGUGAGAAAAAAUGAGUGGAUCAAGGUGCUGUGAGAAAGAAGCAUGUGAAAGGAAAAGAAAGGGAAAAGCUGCUGAGGGGAUCCAUACUGCAGCUCAGGACCCCUGUUCUGCUCAUGCUGGGACUGUCACACAGUGCACCACAUUUCUGAAAGGAAACAGAAGACCCUGUAAGCCUUAUCUUAGUUACUCACUCCAGAUUUGCUACUGCAUGUGUUUAAGGUCACAUCAAUAAGUUUUUACACAGAUGUGGUGAGUGCAGAAGCAGCCUCCUCCCACCAGCUGUUUUUGGAAAGUGAUAAAGCAUCAUUAGAAAAGAGAAGAAAAGGGAGAUAAAAUUCAGUGUUGAUGUUGCCUUGACUGAUCUGCAACUCUGGUACAGGACCUCCUGUUUUAUGUUCCUAGUCUUGAAACACCAAGCUGUGACAUGCAGUCAACACAUCCAAAGCAUGGGUUGCCAUUCAGAGAGACCUACACAAGUUUGAGCAGUGGGCCCAGGAGAACCUCUUGACGUUCAACAAAUCCAAGUGCAAAGUCAUGCACCUGGAUCAAGACAACUCCCAUUACCAGUAUAAGCUGGGGUAUGAAAGGACUGAGCACAGCCCCAACAAAAAAGGAUUUGGGAGUACUGGUGGAUUGCAAGCUGGACAUCAGUCUGCAGUGUGCUCUCACAGCUCAGAAAUUCAAUCAUACUCCGGUCUGCAUCAAAAGAAGCAUGGUCAGCAGCGUAAGGGAGGUGAUCCUGUUCCUCUGUGCUGGUAAGACCUCACCUGAAGUACUGAAUCCAGAUGUGGAGUCCUCAGUACAGGAGAGACAUGGACCUGUUGAAGUGUGUCAAGGGGAGGGCCACAGAGAUGAUCCAUGGGAUGGAACACUUACCCUACUGGGACAGACUAAGAUACCUGAGGCUGUUCAGCCUGGAGGAGAGAAGGCUCUAGGGAGUUAUUUUAAAAUGCCAAUGUAUAGUCUUGCAAAAAAGCACAAUCUUGACUGAAAGUAUUAAAAAAUGUUGCAUAUGGUCAUUAACCAAAAAUCUCUGUGUGUGAAAUAGAUCUUUCCUUUAGCAAAAUUCUAAAUCAUUUAACAAAUUAUUUAAAAAUAGGCAGAAGCACAUCCAACAAUAAAAGACAAACAUCACCAAAGAAAUCCAUUAAAAACAGAAUUAUUAAUAGAUGUUUUUUACAGUAUUUAUUUUGUAUAAAGGGGAUUUGUCUGUACAUUUAGUAUCACUUUAUGUAACAAUUUGAGAAAACUAUCUAUCAAUCCACAGCUUCAAACAGCUUUUUCUGUUGCUUAUAUACACAAGCACUUGUUCUGCAGCAGUAUGAAGCUCUGAAAAGAAGUGUUGCAUGACCAGAAUACAUUUGAAGGAAGCUAGACUUUGCUUUGAACCAGAUAAAUUGGUGGGUAAGAGAUAAACAUCUCAAGCGUGGCUGUAGUAGAGGUAAUUUUUUUUAUGUUAUGUUUUGUCUACAGUAUAAUUCUACAAGUAAAGAAAUGCCUGUCUAGAAAAGCUGAGAUCUCUGCAUUAAAAUACUUUGUAGAGCACAAGCAUAUCUUACAUACAGACAAACCAAAGUAUUAUGCUUUUAAAUGUACAAAUUUACAUACCUUGGUCUUGGCUCUCACACUUUUCAAAUCACCAGCAUUUUAAGUGCAGAUGCAUCAGGCUGAAAUGUAUAUGAUUUUUAAAUGCUACAUUUUGAAGGUUAAAACAAUAAAUAUAUCUAUUUUAUAUGAAGGAAAAAUAGAAAUAAGAUCCCUGAGUAAGUGCAGUAUCUGUCAAUUUCUGACCAAAGAUCCAGCUCCUUAAAAGGAAAAUAACACUAUUCCUUUUAAAUAUAAUUAUUUUAAAAGAUACUGUUAAAUGUAAGAAGUAACGCUCAAUUAUUAUUAAGCAACAUCUAAAAGGAUUUACUUACUAACAAUAAAAGAUGAAGUUUUCUUUCUGGUUAAUGUUCAAGAUAACGGCAAUAAUUUAAAUACGUAAUUUAUAUAUAUAUAUUAUUUAUAUAUAAUAUAAUAAAUGUAUUGUAAUGUACCUAAAUACGAACUUUACAGAAUGGGCUGUUUAACAUGUGUGUAAUAAUCCUUUUGGAAAUAAAGUACUGCAUGGUAUUCAAUAAAUACCUAUUUGUUUCUUUGUUUAAAUAAUAUAAUCAGCUAUUUAUUUCAGUGUUAAACUUACAUUUGAGUAAUAUUAAUUACACAGUGUAAUUACCUUGCCUGUGAUCAUGAUUUGGGGACAGAGUGUAUUGCCUGUGAUGCUGGCUAACAAUGAUAUGAUGUUUCUUACAUGGUCCAUCACUCUGCAUCCAUUUGUUUGCUUUACAUUUGCCCUGUAGAACUUCCAGUACCAAAAGUGCAUAGAAUAGUAAUGGAUGUCUAGCAUUCUAUCACUCAGAGAAUGUAGUUCAAAUAUACUGCUUUAAGUGAAAAGUUAUCUGUAAUCAGUAGCUGAAUGUAAAGAGCAGUUAGUGCUCAGUAGUUAUGGUAGAAAACACAAAAUGCAAUCAAAUAGCAGUCUGUACUCUGCAGGCAUAUGAUAAAUACUGUCCCUGUCCUGAGGAUUUUAUAGCUAAUGUGCUCUCUUUCGUACAGCACUGAACACGAAGAAUGUAUUUGCAAUGGUCUUUCUACAACAGAGAGUGUUUUUUAACUUGAAGAUAACUGUUUCUGUGAAGAAAAAAAAAUUGUAUUCUAUAAUAUCCACAGUGCUUUUAUUGGCACAGAUAAUAUAGUCCUUCAGAGGAAACACAGAAACUUCUGUUUUAUUUUCUUUUUUUAUAUCUCUUUUUGUCCUCUUGUAUCUCAGUGCAGUUGUCAUUAUAGGCUAUGACCACAUAGGCACCAAGUAAGAAACUAGUUUAUCCCUUCAAUUGUCAAAUUAUUUUACACUGUUCAUCAUUAAAAUAUAUGAAUGUAACACUUCAAUGUUAAAAACAAAUACUCCAGGUGUGCUUCUGCAUGUACACUUCUUUAGAUACUUAAGUUCAGGUUCACACAGGGGAAAACAUAUUCUGACCUUGGAGUGGAUGCCCAGACCAGAGAUGGCUUGAUCAGUCCAUUUCUGAAGAAGGAAGUUUAGUGCCAUUCAACAUUUAAAACAUAGAUAUAUCGCACUGUUCUAUACACUGUUCAUCUUUAAAGAGUUUUUUAGUGCUUAAGAAUAACUGAGAUUCAAAGGUCAUCAUCAGUUACUGCAUUUAUCACCUUAUUUUAUUCUAUUAAGACAUAAUUGGAGAGGCAGGGCUCUUUGAGGUAGAAGGCUAAGUAAUGGACUUACUCUUAUCUUGCAAAAGGUUGGUUUGCUGACUUCAAUGCUUUCCUAAGUAAGAUAAAAUUCAUUUAUCUGGCUUUCCAAGCUAUGAAAAGAGAAAGGCAUUCCUAUUGUAACAUUUUCUGCACAGCUUCAUGGAGCAAGAAAGAAAAAUAAGAUUUUGUUCAUGUGUUACAAGCAAACUUCCUGGAAGGAAAGUUUCAAAUAUCAGUCCAUGUUCCUAGGACCACUUACAUAAUCUGAAUAAAUGUGUAGGCUAAAAUAUACAAUCAGUAUGCAAGGCUUUAUUGGCAAAAUAGGUUACUUACUGUGUUACAAAUUCAUACUGCAUCUCAAGAUCCCUUACUGAAUUAAACUUGAAAUCUCUGUUCAGCUGUUUUGGUAAAGUUUCUAAUGCAUGAUUUCUGUGAAUCUGGAAAAGUUAUUUAAUUGUUUACUUCACUAUCUCCAGUUAUAUCUGAUGCAAAAGAAGUUACCCAUACAGAUUUUACUGGAUCACAGAAAAAUGUUGUGUUUGGGCAGCUUUAUAAUGUUUGAAUUAAAU